rnacentral:tRNA from 1 species
GGGCCAUUAGCUCAGUUGGUAGAGCAGGGGACUUUUAAUCCCAAGGUCGCAGGUUCGAGACCUGCAUGGCCCACCA